ACUGGUGUCAGCCGCCGCGGUAAUACCAGCUCUCCGAGUUGUAGGGAUGAUUAUUGGGCUUAAAGCGUCCGUAGCCGGCUUGGCAAGUCUCCUGUUAAAUUCAGCGACCUAAUCGUUGAGCCGCGGGAGAUACUACUAGGCUAGGAGGCGGGAGAGGUCGACGGUACUUUCGGGGUAGGGGUGAAAUCCUAUAAUCCCGGGAGGACCACCAGUGGCGAAGGCUGUUGACUAGAACGCGCUCGACGGUGAGGGACGAAAGCUGGGGGAGCGAACCGGAUUAGAUACCCGGGUAGUCCCAGCUGUAAACUAUGCGGGCUAGGUGUCGGUGUGGCUACGAGCCACUCCGGUGCCGCAGGGAAACUCAUAA
rnacentral:rRNA from 1 species